rnacentral:rRNA from 1 species
AGCCGGGGUCGCCCGAUCGGACCCCGGACGUGAAGUCGACGAUGGUCGGUGGGCUGGUUUUGGUAAGCAGAACGGGCGAUUCGGGAUGAACCGGAAGCGGGGAGAAAGGGCCCGAGAUUGCGUCGACGCGGAUCCCGAAAAGGGCGUCGAUCCGUCGCGACAGCGGGACGGUGGUCAUGGAAGUCGAAAUCCGCUAAGAAGCGUGUAAAAACGUACCCGCCCAACGGAUCGGCCCCGAAAAUUGAUGGCGCUCGAACGCAACCCUCGAACCCCGCCGACGGAGGCUAGGGGAGGCCCCGUCGAGUAGGCGGACGCGCGGGUCGCUUCGACGCUCCCGCGCGAGCGGGGGCGGAGCGGCCCGUGGUGCAGAUCUUGGUGGUAGUAGCGAUCACCCAGGCGAGAACCCUGAGGGCCGAAGUGGAGAAGGGUUUCUCGAGAACGGCACUCGCUCGAGAGUUAGUCGAUCCUAAGCUGCCGGCGGCAGCC